GGCGCGGAGCAAUUCGACUUGCUGGCACAACAGGUCAGAGGCCUCGUCGAAGCUGUACAAGCAAUGCAGCAGCAGCAACCGCAGGCGUCGGCGCAUCUGGAAGGGGCAUCUCCGGAAUGCCAGAACCCGACGGCGGGGCGGGCCACCUGGGCCAGCCACCCCGUCCUUCCCGGGAAAACAAAUCCGAGGGUAGAGAGCCCUCAAUCGGAUCACGACUCCACCCCUGGAAGAUCCCUGCCCCCGUUCUGCCAAAGGACCCUCGAGACUCGAAGUCGAGAGGAUUUCCUGGACCGGAGGCUCCAGGAGAUGAACCGGCGGAUUGAAGAACUCCGCCACGCGCCC
rnacentral:lncRNA from 1 species